rnacentral:lncRNA from 1 species
AUGGUUGCUCUUGGUUUGAGUAUAACGCAACCAAAUACAAAGAAGCGAAGGGUAUUAUAGUAAACACGUUCAAGGAAUUGGAGAAUCAUGCUCUGGAUUCUGUCUCUGCUGUGUUAGGUAUCAGCCCAUUACAAGGUAACAUGGACUUUGGUGAUCCAAAAUAUAUAAGGAUAAUAAUUGUAUGUUUAGACAAUUAUUAUAAGAUAUGUCUUGGUCACAAAGAUAGAAUACCUAGUUGGAAUUGGAUUCUGAUUUGAGUUGGAAAUCAAAAUUGGAUUAGGACUAUGUGUAGCUGUUUUAGAAUUAGAUUCUGAUUUGUCUAGUUUGAGAUGGCUAUAUAUACAUAGUCAUAUUGUGUUUGAUAGGUGUGCUCAAGAUGUAGACUUAGGUAUCGCUUGCGGGCGGAUGCUUGAGUAGUAGGCUUGAGUAUCCAAGUUUGGUUGAUUGUAUUAUUGAUAAUGGUUUUGAUUAAUAAUACAAGUUGGGACGUGGGUUUUCCACGUCAAAUAUAUUAUUUUGUGUGUGCUUUGCAUUAGAAGAUUGAAUCUCGUGUUUUAUCCCUAACAAGUGGUAUCAAGAGCCGAGGUCAGGAUCGUGAUUGAUGGGGUUGAGGAUGAAUUCGGGAUUCAAUCGAGAAUGCAGAGUAUGGUAAAUUUUGUUAGCAGGAAGAGGCAAAGUUACGUGCGGUAUGACGGUUGACUUGCACCGUGGAUCAAUCAUGAUGGACUCAAUAUGGAAGAAGAUUGGAUGGUUCUUCUAGAGGCCGGAGGAUUGUGAAAGCAAGGAUCGGGUGACUCAUGGAUGGAAGAGCACUCGUGGUUGAUGCACGUGAUUUUGUAGAUGGAUAUACCGUUUUGAUAAAGAGCGGUGGUUGGGAGUUCAUUAAAGUGAAAUUUGGUGAUCCUCAAAGUUUGGAAGAACGAGAAGCGGAGAUUCUUGUUCGAGGGGAGGCAUUGGCGGAUGGACGCCGGUGUCUUCAUCGUGAUUGUUGAUUGUAUUGGGCUGAAGGGGAGGAUUGUUAGGUAUCAGCCCAUUACAAGGUAACAUGGACUUUGGUGAUCCAAAAUAUAUAAGGAUAAUAAUUGUAUGUUUAGACAAUUAUUAUAAGAUAUGUCUUGGUCACAAAGAUAGAAGACCUAGUUGGAAUUGGAUUCUGAUUUGAGUUGGAAAUCAGAAUUGGAUUAGGACUAUGUGUAGCUGUUUUAGAAUUAGAUUCUGAUUUGUCUAGUUUGAGAUGGCUAUAUAUACAUAGUCAUAUUGUGUUUGAUAGGUGUGCUCAAGAUGUAGACUUAGGUAUCGCUCGAGGGCGGAUACUUGAGUAGUAGGCUUGAGUAUAAUUUUGGUUGAUUGUAUUAUUGAUAACGGUUUUGAUUAAUAAUACAAGUUGGGACGUGGGUUUUCCACGUCAAAUAUAUUGUUGUGUGUUUGCUUUGCAUUAGAAGAUUGAUCUCGUAUUUUUAUCCCUAACAAGUGGUAUCAGAGCCAGGUUAGGAUCGUGAUUGAUGGGGUUGAGGAUAAAUUUGGGAUUCAAUCGAGAAUGUAGAGUAUGGUGAAUUUUGUUAGCAGGAAGAGACAAAGUUAUGUGCGGUUUGACGGUUGACUUGCACCAUGGAUCAAUCAUGACGGACUCAAUAUGGAAGAAGAUUGGAUGGUUCUUCUAGAGGCCGGAGGAUUGUGAAAGCAAGGAUCGGGUGACUCAUGGAUGGAAGAGCACUCGGGGUUGCUUUCUCACAAGAAAUAAGGAUGAUGGUUGCUCUUGGUUUGAGUAUAACGCAACCAAAUACAAAGAAGCGAAGGGUAUUAUAGUAAACACGUUCAAGGAAUUGGAGAAUCAUGCUCUGGAUUCUGUCUCUGCUGUGUUAGGUAUCAGCCCAUUACAAGGUAACAUGGACUUUGGUGAUCCAAAAUAUAUAAGGAUAAUAAUUGUAUGUUUAGACAAUUAUUAUAAGAUAUGUCUUGGUCACAAAGAUAGAAUACCUAGUUGGAAUUGGAUUCUGAUUUGAGUUGGAAAUCAAAAUUGGAUUAGGACUAUGUGUAGCUGUUUUAGAAUUAGAUUCUGAUUUGUCUAGUUUGAGAUGGCUAUAUAUACAUAGUCAUAUUGUGUUUGAUAGGUGUGCUCAAGAUGUAGACUUAGGUAUCGCUCGAGGGCGGAUACUUGAGUAGUAGGCUUGAGUAUAAUUUUGGUUGAUUGUAUUAUUGAUAACGGUUUUGAUUAAUAAUACAAGUUGGGACGUGGGUUUUCCACGUCAAAUAUAUUGUUGUGUGUUUGCUUUGCAUUAGAAGAUUGAUCUCGUAUUUUUAUCCCUAACAUGCUGUGUUUAGUGACUUGCCACCGGUUUACCCGGUCGGUCCGGUUGUUGAUCGUCGCGGACCGGCUGGAUGGAAAGUCAACGAGGAUCAUGAGGUAGUCAGAAAAUGGCUUGAUCAACAACCGGAAGCGUCGGUAGUUUUUCUAUGUUUUGGUAGUAUGGGGAGUUUGAAACCGGCCCAGGUCAAAGAGAUUGCGCAUGGGCUAGAGCAAUCCGGGCACCGGUUCUUGUGGUCACUGCGAGAACCGGCCAAGGGUAAAUUGGACCUUCCAGGGAAUUAUACGAAUCCUGACGCGGUAUUGCCAGAUGGGUUUAAUGAUCGGACGGCAGGGAUUGGAUUGGUAUGUGGUUGGGUGCCACAAGUGAUGGUAUUAGGCCACAAUGCAGUGGGAGGGUUUGUGUCACAUUGUGGGUGGAACUCAAUAUUAGAGAGCUUAUGGCACGGGGUGCCAAUUGCAACAUGGCCUAUUUAUGCAGAGCAGCAGCUGAAUGCAUUUGAAAUGGUGAAAGAGUUUAAAUUUAAAUUAUAUUGUGAAUAUUUUUCUAGUAUCAAUGCAAUUUUAUAACAUAACGUUAUAUCAAAUAUUCCAAUUUUUAUUGUGACAACUAUAUCUCCAUCCUUUUGUCAUUUUAUAUUUAAACCAAAUUACAACAUUUUUUUAGGACACAUGAAAUAGACAGUUUUGUUGGUUCCAACACAAAUAUGGUCCCAUAUUAAAUAAAAUGGAGUCCCGUUUUCAGUAUCCCAAUGCUCUGAGUUGGGACUUUAUUAGAUGCCGGCCUUAUCUUUUAAAUAAAAUACAUAAAAUAAAGUAUAAAUAACAUAUUUUUAACUCACAGGUGCAUAUGCAUUCUUUUAGUAUUCAUUUUAAAGAAUAUAUAAAAUUUAAUUUUAUAAACUAUUUUAAAAAAAUUCUCUUAUAUAAAUAUUUAAAUAAUAAAAUUUUGUUUAGAAAAAAAAACUACAUUUUCCAGUAGUGUGUCAAACCUUGCUUUAAGGUACCUAGACUAGGAGGAAUUAUUAAAAUGUUAACUAAAAAGUGUAUUCAACUUAUGUUAUGAUGAAUUUUAAUGAAUUGUAUUCAUUUUAAUGUUAUGCAGAUCAUAGAUUAAUAAUCGUGAAUUUUUAGAAUUUAAGCAGAAUAUUUGUGACUUAAAUAUCUUAAUUAAUGGGAAAUUUUCACAAAAUUCAUGAUUUUGUAAAGUUAAAAUAAAAUCAUUUAAAAUUUUGAUCGAAUACCAACAAAAUUUUAACACAAUCUAAAUUCUUGAUUGAAUACCAAUAACAUAAUUUAAAUUUUUAAUAAUAUAUGUUUAGAUUUUUUUUAAAAUCCGAAAUGAAUGCUCCGGAUUCCAUAAAUAAAAACAAUCUAUAAAAUCCACAUUGAAUUCAGAUUACUAUAAAAUUAUAUUAUUUUAAAAAUAAAUAAUUAUAUAUGCACACAUUUGGUAUUGAAUUAUGUACGCACACUCAUAUUGACUUGCUACAGAAUGAAGAAAUCUGCAAACCUUGUUUUCAUCGCCGCUCCUACAAUCGGAAACCUUGUUCCUGUAGUCGAGUUCGCCACUCAGUUGACCCACACUUACCCAUCUCUCACAGCCACCGUCCUAGUCAUCACCAUGAAUCGCCCACUCGUAGACACCUUCGUGGACUCACGCUCCACCGUCAACUCCGGAAAUGUCUCCUUCAUUCAUCUCCCCUCGUUAGACCCGCCCUCACCUGACCAAUACCAGACGAGCGUAGGUUUCAUGUCUCUUUUAAUAGAUUCUCAAAAACCACACGUCAAGAAAGCACUCGUCGAUCUCAUGCACACUCAGUCGGAGAGGACUGACUCAGUUGUCCCCCUCGCGGGAUUAUUUGUUGAUAUGUUUUGUACGGCGAUGAUUGAUGUAGCUAAUGAACUCGGUGUGAAAAGUUAUGUAUACUUCGCUUCUCCGGCUUCUUUUUUGGGCUUUAUGUUGCACCUUCCAGUAUUGACACGAUUAAGUACUGAGUUGGAUGACUCGGAUGCUGAGUUGAGGAUCCCGGGUUUUGUCAAGCCUGUUCCUGUAUCGGUGUUGCCUACUUUUUUUCUUACAAGAAAUAAGGAUGAUGGUUGCUCUUGGUUUGAGUAUAACGCAAGAAAAUACAAAGAAGCAAAGGGUAUUAUAGUAAACACGUUUAAGGAAUUGGAGAAUCAUGCUCUGGAUUCUGUUUCUUCUGAGUUUAGUGACUUGCCACCGGUUUACCCGGUCGGUCCGGUUGUUGAUCGUCGCGGGCCGGCUGGUUGGAAGUUCAACCCGGCUCAUGAGAAGGUCAGAAUGUGGCUUGAUGAACAGCCUGAGGCAUCAGUAGUUUUUUUAUGUUUUGGAAGUAUGGGGAGUUUGAAACCGGCCCAGGUUAAAGAGAUUGCGCAUGGGCUAGAGGAAUCCGGGCACCGGUUCUUGUGGUCGCUACGAGAACCGGGUAAGAGUAAAUUAGACCUUCCAGGGAAUUAUACGAAUCCUGACGCGGUAUUGCCAGAUGGGUUUAUUGAUCGGACGGCAGGGAUUGGAUUGGUAUGUGGUUGGGUGCCACAAGUGAUGGUAUUAGGCCACAAUGCAGUGG